AACGCGAAGAACCUUACCAGGCCUUGACAUGCAGAGAACUUCAGAGAUGGAUUGGUGCCUGGGAACUGACACAGGUGCUGCAUGGCUGGAGCGUGGUGAGAUGUUGGGUUAAGCCGUAACGAGCGCAACCCUUGCUUAGUUACCAGCACGUUAUGGUGGGCACUAAGGAGACUGCCGGUGACAAACCGGAGGAAGGUGGGGAUGACGAAGAAUGGCCCUUACGGCCUGGGCUACACACGUGCUACAAUGGGGUACAGAGGGUUGCCAAGCCGCGAGGUGGAGCUAAACAAAACCGAGUAGCGGAGCAGUGCAACGACUGCGUGAAGGGAAGCUAGUAGGCAAAAGAAUGUUGCGGUGAAUACGUCCGGGGUUGUACACACCG
rnacentral:rRNA from 1 species